UGGUGUUGAACGAUGAUAACGUCAGAGCGUAAACUUUGGGGUUUUGUUCAGUGGAGAAGAUGAUAGUGAUGGAUUUUGUUCAUUCUCCAUGGACUCAUGAACACGAUCAGUAGCCCGGGACUUCUUUUGAGGUUAAGGUUAACCGAAGUGGGUGAUGAUGAUGACUAU